rnacentral:rRNA from 1 species
GACGAACGCUGGCGGCGUGCUUAACACAUGCAAGUCGAACGGAAAGGCCCUGCUUUUGUGGGGUGCUCGAGUGGCGAACGGGUGCGUAACACGUGAGUAACCUGCCCUUGAUUUUGGGAUAACUUCAGGAAACUGGGGCUAAUACCGGAUAGGAGCUCCUGCUGCAUGGUGGGGGUUGGAAAGUUUCGGCGGUUGGGGAUGGACUCGCGGCUUAUCAGCUUGUUGGUGGGGUAGUGGCUUACCAAGGCUUUGACGGGUAGCCGGCCUGAGAGGGUGACCGGCCACAUUGGGACUGAGAUACGGCACAGACGGCGACGGGAGGCAGCAGGGGGGAAGAUUGCACAAGGGGCGGAAGCCGGAUGCAGCAACGCCGCGUGCGGGAUGACGGUCUUCGGGGUGUAAACCGCUUUCGCCUGUAACGAAGCGUGAGUGACGGUAAUGGGUAAAGAAGCAACGGCUAACUACGUG